UACGAAGGGGGCUAGCGUUGCUCGGAAUCACUGGGCGUAAAGGGCGCGUAGGCGGCCGUUCAAGUCGGGGGUGAAAGCCUGUGGCUCAACCACAGAAUUGCCUUCGAUACUGUACGGCUCGAGACCGGAAGAGGUGAGUGGAACUGCGAGUGUAGAGGUGAAAUUCGUAGAUAUUCGCAAGAACACCAGUGGCGAAGGCGGCUUACUGGUCCGGUUCUGACGCUGAGGCGCGAAAGCGUGGGGAGCAAACAGG
rnacentral:rRNA from 1 species